rfam:Ictidomys tridecemlineatus contig065146, whole genome shotgun sequence.
GGGGUUGUGGCUCAGUGGUAGAGCACUUGCUUAGCAUGUGUGAGGACCUAGGUUCAAUUCUCAGCACCA